CAUAAUAAGUGUUUUAUGGCACUUUUUAAAUCCAUAUCCACCUUGUGUGCAAUGUCAGUCGAUCUUCUUCAUGGAGAUCGACCAAACAUCAACCUUUAUUUUUUAACUCUUUGUCUGAAAAAUAUUAUGAAUAAACAAUUCAAAAUA
rnacentral:misc_RNA from 1 species